ensembl:lncRNA
CUUACGACGUUUCCUUGCGUAAAAGGCGCAAAGUGAGCGGCUUAUUAGCGGACGCGCCCGUGCACACCGCCGCCCGUGAAGUAAUACGCCGAACAACAAACUGACAUCAUCAGAAUGCGACUCUCCCACCCCGACGAGCCCGACACAUUCUAGAGGACGUCAACCAUAAGGGGGGACCGAGUGGGCCAAAGCGUCACCGCUCGCACGCCGGCGCGUGGGUCUGUUCAUGCACGUGCGCCGCGGCUGCAGCCGUCUGCCGCGCGCGUCUGUCUGUCCGCGCAGGAGCCGAGACGGACGGGCCCGGCGGCGACGACGACGACGACGACGACGACCAUGAUGAUGAUGAUGGCGGAGGAGGACUGCGUCGGCUUCCAGGCGCAAAUCGCCUCCAUCAUCGAGAUCCUGGCCAACUCCGCCGUGGCGGAGAUCUGCAAGCUGGUGGACGACGGCUACGCGGCGCUGCGCUCCCAGAUGGAGCGGGAGCGGGAGAAGAGCGCGCGCGAGAACGACGCGCUGCGCGCCAAGCUGCGGGACACCGACAUGAAGAUGCGCGGCUACGAGAGGAAGAUGAGGAGACGGGGUCAGAGAGAGGAAGCCCCCGCCGCUCGUUUCGGGCCGUCCGAAGGAGCUGACAUCCAUCAGCCGGUGGUGCCGCCUCUUCCUGCGCCUUCUCCAGACGCAACCUGCCUUCACGUGUCAAAGCAGGAGGAGUCGUUGCCGCUGGUGAAGCAGGAGAAGGUGGAGGGAGACGACUGCAAUCUGGACCUGAAGGUGGAGGUCAACAUUAGGGCGGAGUGUGACCUGUCCACCGGUGAGUGUGACUCGGCCAGUGACCAUUCAAUGGUUUUAUUAAUCAAUCAAUGAUUUGAAUGUUUAACCGAUGGAAAGUGUAGGGUCGCGUCCCUGUGCUGGCCAACGGCAAAUGAAACUCAACGGGUCCGACCCAAACCCGGGACCGGGUGUGGCACAGUCCACCGGACGUCAUCUUGAGGUGUGAGGAGGCUUUAAUGGCCUGACCCAGCGGAUAAACGGAAGGCCGCGUUGGACCGGAGGUCUUAAGACGACCGUGAGUGACGGUGGGAACGAGAGAAGCGGUUCCCUCAGAGAGGAGCUCGGCGGGUUGACGCACGGGUCUCGAGGCGCCGCAGAGGGAGGGGACGCCAUAAGCUGCCAUUGAUUAAAAAAAUGAAUUAAAAAAAAGCACGGCCUGACAGUGUGCAGGACGUCUUUUACAAGUUAGGAGGGAGCAGUACUGAGCUGGGGAGGUGAUUUAAUCUGAGAGACAGUGGUUUCUAGAAGUGAGAAGGAGAUUGGCUGAAAUUGGGUCAGCACUUCGUGCUUUGAGGGGGCGGAGGGGCAAGUGGGGCAUCCAUGUCCGGAACAAUCAGUCCUCACGUCCUCUAACUUUUGUAAACAAAGUCACUCGGAAAAAAAAAAACCCUCCGCUCAUUCUGGCCUCUUCGCAGCGGAGGAACUAUUCACAGCAGGAUCAAUGUCAAUUAAAAUCAAAUAGGAGAAAUAAAACUUAAGCUGCUGUCUGUCUGAAAGUUGAAGAGAAGGGAGACAAAUUGCCUCUCGGCCUUUAAUAAACAUCCAGCUCUUUCUUGUCUGCUCAUUGAGUCACGGAUAACCAUCACAAUUCACUACCUGAUUUGGAAAGGAGCAGUAUGGCCACCGCAAUGCAUCAUGGGACAGCUCCUACAUGAAAGCGCUCACGGGUUGGGCAUUGCUUCAUGCAUUGGGCAGAAUUGGCAUUGAAAACAACUUUAUUUACUCACUUAUGGUUCAUUCUACAGGGACGAUACAGUAUUAUUAUUCUUACAGGUCAUUUAGCCGACGCUUUUAUCCAAAGCGACUUUACAUUUUCAACCCGUGGCUU